rnacentral:rRNA from 1 species
UCCGUAGGGGAACCUGCGGAGGGAUCAUUAUAGAGUUUUCUAAACUCCCAACCCAUGUGAACUUACCUUUUGUUGCCUCGGCAGAAGUUAUAGGUCUUCUUAUAGCUGCUGCCGGUGGACCAUUAAACUCUUGUUAUUUUAUGUAAUCUGAGCGUCUUAUUUUAAUAAGUCAAAACUUUCAACAACGGAUCUCUUGGUUCUGGCAUCGAUGAAGAACGCAGCGAAAUGCGAUAAGUAAUGUGAAUUGCAGAAUUCAGUGAAUCAUCGAAUCUUUGAACGCACAUUGCGCCCAUUAGUAUUCUAGUGGGCAUGCCUGUUCGAGCGUCAUUUCAACCCUUAAGCCUAGCUUAGUGUUGGGAAUCUACUCCUUUUAUUAGUUGUAGUUCCUGAAAUACAACGGCGGAUUUGUAGUAUCCUCUGAGCGUAGUAAUUUUUUUCUCGCUUUUGUUAGGUGCUAUAACUCCCAGCCGCUAAACCCCCAAUUUUUUGUGGUUGACCUCGGAUCAGGUAGGAAUACCCGCUGAACUUAAGCAUAUCAAUAAGCGGAGGA